GAUGAACGCUGGCGGCGUGCCUAAUACAUGCAAGUCGAACGCUGGAGAUCUAGCUUGCUAGAUCGAAGGAGUGGCGAACGGGUGAGUAAUACAUAAGCAACCUACCCACGAAGACUGGGAUAAUCUCUGGAAACGGGGACUAAUACCGGAUAGGUAAUCGGAAGGCAUCUUCUGGUUAUUAAAGGUUAAAAACACUGGUGGAUGGGCUUAUGGCGCAUUAGUUAGUUGGUGAGGUAACGGCCCACCAAGACGAUGAUGCGUAGCCGGCCUGAGAGGGUGAACGGCCACAAUGGGACUGAGACACGGCCCAGACUCCUACGGGAGGCAGCAGUAGGGAAUUUUCGGCAAUGGGGGCAACCCUGACCGAGCAACGCCGCGUGAGUGAAGACGGCCUUCGGGUUGUAAAGCUCUGUUGUAAGGGAAGAACGGUAGAUAGAGAAUAUCUAAGUGACGGUACCUUACCAGAAAGCCACGGCUAACUACGUG
rnacentral:rRNA from 1 species